UGUUGUUUUGGAAGUCAGGAUCCUCUGGUCACAUCCAUCAGACGUAUGGAUUUACUCCCUUGAGGUGUAUUUGCAAAGAACUUUGGUCAUCACACUCAAAGCAAGGAUGAGGAAAGAUCUGGUGCUCCCGUGUUUUGCCAAGAGGCAUGCUUCACGGACACCUUCGGUCACAACGUGGCCAUCCAUUGCUCAAAAUCGUGUUUAAAAUUUUACUUCAGAAUGCUCACAAGUAACCCAAGGACCUCAGGCCACGCCUCGCGUUUCUAUGGCCAGUGAGACCAAACAACAAAGCCAACAAAACACCUGAAUUCCAGAACCUUUUGGUCGUGAAGGGCAACGUGUCUGAUUGAAGCAAGGAAAGGAAAUGGGUGGCAGAAAAUACAGCCCCAAGUGUCUUCUGAAGACAUUCUUUCUUUUGUGUGUCAACAACUGUGUUUUUUCUAAAUUCUAGAACCUUUAUUCUCUUCCUUCUCCUCUCAAGAAGACAGGUCGGAAGGAUCCAUGAGCGGAGGUCCUGGAACCAACCUUGAACUGACUCUCGCUGGUGGUGGUGACAGGAGCAAAUCUGUAAUAACUCUUGGGAUAGACCUCACGGCGUAGCAAGCACAUUCCCUUCAUAUCAGUCCUCUGAGGGAGCACACUUUCCACCAGCCAUUUCCAAAUGAAAACCGCAAUCAAGUCCCUUGCCUGCAGGUUCAACAGACGUCCAAGCUCACGUGGAAGGAGAAGGAUAAAGCCAGAUCCUCCAGA